rnacentral:rRNA from 1 species
AAUGUAAAAUUAUUACUAAAGUAUUAAUAGUUAUAUUCUUUAAACUUAAAAAAUUUGGCGGUAUUUUAGUCUAUUCAGAGGAACCUGUUUUUUAAAUGAUAAUCCACGAUUAACUUUACUUAAAUUUAUAUAUUAGUUUGUAUAUCGUUGUUAUAAAAAAUUUUAUAAGAAUAAUAAUUUUUAAUAUAUUAAAUAAGAUUAUAUAUCAGAUCAAGGUGCAGCAUAUAUUUAAGUCAAUAAUGGGUUACAAUAAAUUUAUUUAUAUGGAUAUAAAAAUGAAAAUUUUAUUGAAAGUGGAUUUGAAAGUAAAAUUAUUUAAUUAAAUAAUUUGAUUUUUAGCUCU